UACGUAGGUCCCGAGCGUUGUCCGGAUUUAUUGGGCGUAAAGCGAGCGCAGGUGGUUUAUUAAGUCUGGUGUAAAAGGCAGUGGCUCAACCAUUGUAUGCAUUGGAAACUGGUAGACUUGAGUGCAGGAGAGGAGAGUGGAAUUCCAUGUGUAGCGGUGAAAUGCGUAGAUAUAUGGAGGAACACCGGUGGCGAAGGCGGCUUACUGGACGGCAACUGACGCUGAGGCUCGAAAGCGUGGGGAGCAAACAGG
rnacentral:rRNA from 1 species